CGGGAACUCUUCUCGAGACUUGGCCUACUCUUCCUCUCCGUCCUCCUCCUCGUAACGUGCAGACACGCUGCGACUCCCCCUCUGAAUGUCCGCGUGGAGUCUCGCGACCUGCUGACACAACUCCGCUGGGACCACGACGCUCAAGUGGACGUCGCCACCAGCAGCAGCUCACAGCUCCUGGACGUUGCCUACAGGGUGGACAGCAAACUCUAUGGACGAGCCCGCUGGCGGACCGUCUGCGCUGCCACCGCAGAGACACGGUGCGAUGUCUCCUCAGCGCUGCGACAUCCCGGCGACCGCUAUCAACUUCGCGUCAGAUCCACCGUCUCAUCACCACCACCAACACCACCAUCACCACCAUCACCACCAUCACCACCAUCAUCCUCACCCUGGGUCGUGGUUGAGGUCUUACCCUUGAAGACAAGUGAGUGGCAUUGUCUGUGUCUCUGUGUGUGAGUGUCUCUGUGUGUGUCUCUGUGUGUGUGUGUGUCUCUGUGUGUGAGUGUCUCUGUGUGUGUGUGUGAGUGUGUGUGAGUGUCUCUGUGUGUGUCUGUGUGUGUGUCUGUGUGUGUGUCUCUGUGUGUCUCUGUGUGUGUGUGUGUCUGUGUGUGAGUGUUUCUGGGUGUGUGUGUCUCUGUGUGUGUGAGUGUCUCUGUGAGUGUCUCUGUGAGUGUCUCUGUGUGUCUCUGUGAGUGUCUCUGUGUGUGAGUGUCUCUGUGUGUGUCUCUGUGAGUGUCUCUGUGUGUGUCUCUGUGUGUGUCUCUGUGAGUGUCUCUGUGUGUGUGAGUGUCUCUGUGUGUGAGUGUCUCUGUGUGUGUCUGUGUGUGUGUGUCUCUGUGUGUGAGUGUCUCUGUGUGUGUGUGAGUGUGUGUGAGUGUCUCUGUGUGUGUCUGUGUGUGUGUCUGUGUCUCUGUGUGUCUCUGUGUGUGUCUGUGUGUGAGUG